rnacentral:lncRNA from 1 species
UUUUUAGUAUGAUUAUUAUUAAUAUCUUAGUGUCUCAAUUUUCUCUUGUUUUCUCCUCUUCCCAAACGAAGAAACCUUUUACUUUUCCUUACCCAUGUCACUUCUCAAAACGAUAAUGAACCACCACCUCAAACGACACCUUCUCCUCCUCCGCCUCCGCAAGGAGAUAAACUCCUUCAUUUCCUCAUCUCAAUUUCAAUAGGCAGUAGCAACAGGGGAAGAAGAAUAAGAAUAGUGAGAAAGCAAGAACGUGAGACAACCCUUUGAUGCUUUAAUGAAAACAGAAGCAGAAUAUGAAAGAUGACUGUUGCUACCAUGGAUAAAGUUUUCAAUAGCUUGAAAAACUCUUCUAGAAUCUUUUUCCCAAAUUUCAAUAUUCCCUUUUCUUUUUUUUAGCCCAUCCCUUGCCCCCCCCAAAAUUAUGUCCCUUCGACUGCUCAUGUCUAAUGUGGCCAGUUAACUGGCCACGUCAGCUAGUUAAUGGGCACGUCACUUGUCUCGUUAGGCCUGUAACGAGAAAUAUUAGUUGGUGAAAGAUUUGUCAUUUUUCGAUAACAUUAGUGACUAUUCUAUUAUUUUCAUAAAGUUUAGUGAUUGAGUUGUAACUUUUCAAAGUUUGGUGAUUGUUUUGUUAUUAAUCAAAGCUGAGUGACUGUUGGUGUACUUUACCCAAAAAAUUAUUAGUUGUAUAUUGAUUUUAGAUUAAACUACCAAAAUAGUCACUUUUGU